AGUUCUGAUUAUUGAAAGGUGCUUGCAUCUUGAUUUGAUUUUGAACGAGUGGCGGACGGGUGAGUAACACGUGGGUAACCUGCCCUUAAGUGGGGGAUAACAUUUGGAAACAGAUGCUAAUACCGCAUAAAUCCAAGAACCGCAUGGUUCUUGGCUGAAAGAUGGCGUAAGCUAUCGCUUUUGGAUGGACCCGCGGCGUAUUAGCUAGUUGGUGAGGUAACGGCUCACCAAGGCAAUGAUACGUAGCCGAACUGAGAGGUUGAUCGGCCACAUUGGGACUGAGACACGGCCCAAACUCCUACGGGAGGCAGCAGUAGGGAAUCUUCCACAAUGGACGCAAGUCUGAUGGAGCAACGCCGCGUGAGUGAAGAAGGCUUUCGGGUCGUAAAACUCUGUUGUUGGAGAAGAAUGGUCGGCAGAGUAACUGUUGUCGGCGUGACGGUAUCCAACCAGAAAGCCACGGCUAACUACGUGCCAGCAGCCGCGGUAAUACGUAGGUGGCAAGCGUUAUCCGGAUUUAUUGGGCGUAAAGCGAGCGCAGGCGGUUUUUUAAGUCUGAUGUGAAAGCCCUCGGCUUAACCGAGGAAGUGCAUCGGAAACUGGGAAACUUGAGUGCAGAAGAGGACAGUGGAACUCCAUGUGUAGCGGUGAAAUGCGUAGAUAUAUGGAAGAACACCAGUGGCGAAGGCGGCUGUCUGGUCUGUAACUGACGCUGAGGCUCGAAAGCAUGGGUAGCGAACAGGAUUAGAUACCCUGGUAGUCCAUGCCGUAAACGAUGAAUGCUAGGUGUUGGAGGGUUUCCGCCCUUCAGUGCCGCAGCUAACGCAUUAAGCAUUCCGCCUGGGGAGUACGACCGCAAGGUUGAAACUCAAAGGAAUUGACGGGGGCCCGCACAAGCGGUGGAGCAUGUGGUUUAAUUCGAAGCAACGCGAAGAACCUUACCAGGUCUUGACAUCUUUUGAUCACCUGAGAGAUCAGGUUUCCCCUUCGGGGGCAAAAUGACAGGUGGUGCAUGGUUGUCGUCAGCUCGUGUCGUGAGAUGUUGGGUUAAGUCCCGCAACGAGCGCAACCCUUAUGACUAGUUGCCAGCAUUUAGUUGGGCACUCUAGUAAGACUGCCGGUGACAAACCGGAGGAAGGUGGGGAUGACGUCAAAUCAUCAUGCCCCUUAUGACCUGGGCUACACACGUGCUACAAUGGAUGGUACAACGAGUUGCGAGACCGCGAGGUCAAGCUAAUCUCUUAAAGCCAUUCUCAGUUCGGACUGUAGGCUGCAACUCGCCUACACGAAGUCGGAAUCGCUAGUAAUCGCGGAUCAGCACGCCGCGGUGAAUACGUUCCCGGGCCUUGUACACACCGCCCGUCACACCAUGAGAGUUUGUAACACCCGAAGCC
rnacentral:rRNA from 1 species